CACAGAGCAACGGUGGUGGCUAACGGCCACCCACGGCGACGUGCGGGACAGUGCCACAGAAAUCAGACCGCCAGCGGCCGCCGCUCCUCGGAGCAGCGGUGCGGGUAAGGGUGAAACGGUGAGGUAAGAGCUCACCAGCGCUCCGGGUGACCGGGGCGGCUAGGUAAACCCCACCGGGAGCAAGACCAAGAGAGUCGCGUGGCGCUUCGGCGGUGCACGGCUUGCGCUGACGGGCUGCUCGUCCGAUGUCAGCGGGUAGGUUGCACGAGGCGUCCAGCAAUGGGCGUCCCAGAUGGAUGGUCGCCCACG
rnacentral:RNase_P_RNA from 1 species